AUGAACGCUGGCGGCGUGCCUAAUCCAUGCAAGUCGAGCGAACAGACGAGGAGCUUGCUCCUCUGACGUUAGCGGCGGACGGGUGAGUAACACGUGGAUAACCUACCUAUAAGACUGGGAUAACUUCGGGAAACCGGAGCUAAUACCGGAUAAUAUAUUGAACCGCAUGGUUCAAUAGUGAAAGACGGUUUUGCUGUCACUUAUAGAUGGAUCCGCGCCGCAUUAGCUAGUUGGUAAGGUAACGGCUUACCAAGGCAACGAUGCGUAGCCGACCUGAGAGGGUGAUCGGCCACACUGGAACUGAGACACGGUCCAGACUCCUACGGGAGGCAGCAGUAGGGAAUCUUCCGCAAUGGGCGAAAGCCUGACGGAGCAACGCCGCGUGAGUGAUGAAGGUCUUUGGAUCGUAAAACUCUGUUAUUAGGGAAGAACAAAUGUGUAAGUAACUAUGCACGUCUUGACGGUACCUAAUCAGAAAGCCACGGCUAACUACGUG
rnacentral:rRNA from 1 species